AGCAGCAACGCCUCCUCAGAGCCAUGCGAGAAAAACACCACCACCACCACCGCUGCUGCUGCUGAAUAAACCAUUCUUAUCUUCUCGUUUUAUUUAAGUUAACUACCAGGAUCGUUGAUUAUCAUCAUUAGUAGUAGUAUACCCAAAUAAGGCGUGCGUUGAGGGGGUCUGAUCGGCUUAAUCGUUUCUUAAUUUUAUUAUUAAGACUGGGGGUAAUAAUGCAUACCCUUAACUAGCUACGUACGUAUAUACUACUACUACUGCACAUUACUGUCAUCUUUUUUGGCAAAGUGCCAGUGGCUAGAUGAAUAUGGAUUGGGUGUUACUGACGAGUUGCCAUCAGUGGACAAUCUAUAAUGCAACAUGAUCGAUCACACGGACGAUGAAACAAGAAACCGCUGGAAACCAGUGUGGAAUGAGA
rnacentral:lncRNA from 1 species